UUCCGCCAUGAUUGUGAGGCUUCCCCAGCCAUGUGGAAACAUAUUCGCAGAGCACCCACUAGGUGCCAGUAAAUGUAUGAGAAGUCCUGUGGAAUAAGACUGAAGUUGUCCUUGCCUUCAAGCAACUUGCAAUUGCCUAAGAACACAGUUUAAAACCACAAAACUAAGCCUUGGAAAUCACAUGCUGUCAUUUCUGCGAUCGGUCAUAACCAGUCCUGAUUCCAUGUUAGAGGAGACUACAUAAGGACACAGGUACCAGAAGAUGAAAAAUUUGGAGUCUAGUGAAAAGAAGUGACUUGCUCAAAAUCACACAGCACAUGAAGAACAGAGCCUCUAUGAUGAAUUUCUUGACAGCAUAAAGAAUUCUUGCAAACAACAAAGGAGACUUAGCUGAAACUUUUGGCCUCAUAUCAGAGAGUUCAUGUUUGUCUUUAGACAAACAGAUAAACAAACGGAAUCUGGGAGAGGAAGCAUUAAUUUGACUUGCAAGCAAAUCAUUUUAUACUAAAUAAAUGAAGAUUUUGUAUGCUAUCCAGUUUCUUUGAGAUGUAUGUGCCUUAUAAAGAUGUUCCUAAAAGAUUCAAAGCCAUGAAAAGCAUCCGUGCACUUUAUUAAGGUGUACCUCUGGUUAAUUUAUGAUGGAGUCAGCAAAGAAGUAGUCCAGUAGGGCUUUCUACCUGUGAAAAGAACAUGGUUUGAAGCCACCAAGCAAAUCUAAACUGUCAUCUUUGUACUUACUAGCCACGUGGCUUUGGGCAAGAUGUAGCCUGUCAGAACUCCAAUUUCCUCAUCUGCAAAAUGUGGUAGAUUCCAAUUACAUGUAUGAAAGUGAAAUAAAGCAUUGCCUAUAA
ensembl:lncRNA novel transcript